CCCCUCAGCCUCCUCCGCGCGGUUACCCCUGUACCCGCCGCCAUCCGUCCUGGCGCUCCGGAUGAGUCAAUGAGGGGCAGGGCCCGAGGAGUGGUCUUCCCAAGAACCCCUGGUGGCCUCCCAAGGCCGGUGCUGUGUACCUCCUCCCCGACAAAAGGGGAAACUGAGGCCCCGAGGGGAGUGGGAAGAGCCGGCUGGACGUCAGGCCCAGCCGCUGGUGCAGUGGUCCGUCCCCUCUGCCGGGGUGGGCCCCUCGGGUUUCGCGUGUCCUCGGGAAAGAGACUGGCGGGCCUCGUGGGCUGUGCGGCUAUCCUGGAGACAGAUGACAGCUCUCCCUUGGAUGGCUUUGCUGGUUCCGCACCAGCCAGCGCCCCCAUUUUUCCUGCAGCACCCUGAUCUGCACUCCCUGAGGGGCUCCCACUGUCCGCGGUGUGAGGAUGUCCCUGGAAAUUGGUCUUCUGUGACUUUCUUGAUGGGGGCAGAUGAGAUCUUUGUACUGCAUUAAGUGGAUAGCGCUCAGGUCCUUUGGGCUUGGCGCUUUGGCAAUCUCCAGGCAGCUCACUUUGGCCUCUGUUCCUGGAUCCCCUUUGCUCUUUUCUGCGCCUGCAUUCAUAGUCCACUGUGUGCAGAGGCAUGGGAGUUGUCAUGUUGGGAACAUGCUAGACCUCAGUAUCCUUGAGGGAUGCUGCCUUGGGUCUGGAAACUGUUAGAGGAAACCCCAAGAGGUGCAGGCACUGAGCCUCUCAGGACAAUGACCUGGGGUCCCAGCUCCCCUGGAGGGGCCUCCUCAUGAUUGUUUGGGGGUUGAUCACAGACCAAGAGUGACGAGUGAUGUCACCCUGUGACUCAUGGCUGGACCUUCUUGCCCCUAUUGUCUCAGCACAACAUUAUUCGACUUUUCCCUCAGCGUGGGUGGGCAGAGGAAAAGCCCUGUGGCUCUGGGGACUUGGGAUCCAGAGUUGAAGACCCUUCAGCUGGCUCUGCCCUGCCAGUGCCACAGAGUGCCAUGGCCCAGGAAGACAGGUUUUCUUCCAUCUAGGCCAGGCCAUCCAGUGGCCAUCCUCCGUGUCCUCCCGCCUCCUCCUGGUGUGACUUCUGAAAACCAAGAAUUUGUUCCUGUUGACUUUUUCUGUGCUAUGGACCAUUGUCCUCUCACCCACUCAAUAAAUCUUGAAACAUGC
rnacentral:lncRNA from 1 species